rnacentral:snoRNA from 1 species
AAGCAAAUGAUGCACACCAUUUUGACUUCUGAUUCCUACGAUGAUGGUUGUCGUAUUCGUACUGUCUGAUGCUC